rnacentral:rRNA from 1 species
CUGCAAGUCGUACGAGAAAUCCUGGGCAACUGGGAGAGUAAAGUGGCGCACGGGUGGGUAACGCGUGGGUAACCUAUCCUUGAAUUGGGGAUAACUCUUCGAAAGGGGAGUUAAUACCGAAUAAUAUUCCAAUUCCCCCGGGAGUUGGAAUCAAAGGUGGCCUCUGCAUGCAAGCUAUCGUUUAUGGAUGGGCCCGCGUACCAUUAGCUAGUUGGUAGGGUAAUAGCCUACCAAGGCAACGAUGGUUAGCUGGUCUGAGAGGAUGGCCAGCCACACUGGAACUGAGACACGGUCCAGACUCCUACGGGAGGCAGCAGUGGGGAAUCUUGCGCAAUGGGGGAAACCCUGACGCAGCAACGCCGCGUGGGUGAUGAAGGCCUUCGGGUCGUAAAGCCCUGUCAGGUGGAAAGAAAAUUGUGGAUGUUAAUACCAUCCAUGC